rnacentral:sRNA from 1 species
AGUUAAGCUAACCCGCAUACCGAAUUG